AUACUUGGUGUGAAUUAUGGAAUCUCGUGAACCAUCGAGUCUUUGAAUGCAAGUUAUACCCGAGGCCGUUCGGUCGAAGGCAUGCCUACUUGGGCGUUAUGC
rnacentral:rRNA from 1 species